rnacentral:lncRNA from 1 species
GAAAGUGGUAAGGAUAAGUGCAAUAGAAGAGUAAAAUCUUUAGAAGAUAGUACUACUUUAGCCGAUGAUAAAGUAAGUAGUAAUGACGAAAAUAAUAUAAUAAAUGCCGGUUACGUAACUAGUAAUGGUCAUACGAAAAAGGAAAACAGCGAAAGUAACAAAGAUGGUAAUGUCAGUGAUAACAGUAAUGGCAACCGUAAUAACAACAGUAAUGGAAACAGUAACGACAACAGUAAUGGAAACAGUAACGACAACAGUAAUGACAACAGUAAUGGAAAAACCAAUAUCAUUACUCGUGUUGACAUUUUUAAACAAACCGAUUUAGACCAUUUUGAAAAUAACAAUUUAAUUUAUUACGAUGAUACCGUAGAUAGUGAAUAUAAAGAUGCCAAAGAAAUAACUAAACGAAUUAAAAAAAAAAAAAAAAAAAAUAAAAAAAAAAAAAAAAAAAAAAAAAAAAAAAAAAAAAAAAAAAAAAAAAAACUUACAUGCGUAUGCGUAUGCGUAUGUGUGUGUGUGUGUGUAUAUGUGUUAACAGUAAAGCCACUUCUCUCUUUCUGUGGGAUUAUCACAACAUUGUUUUUGUAAAAAAAUUAAGAUCAAUUGGUUUCUUAAUUUGUUUUUAUAACUUUGUUUCGAAUUUAUUUACUAUAACUUCAGCUUUUUUUUUUUUUUUUUAACUUCUGCUUCUUCUUUUUUUUUUAUGCUAUAUAUAUAUAUAUAUAUAUAUAUUUAUAUAAAACUAAACACGCAUAUACUAUCUUAAAAAACAUACAUACGUACUUGUUAUGAUUCAUUUUUAUGAACGUUCAAUUUUUUUUUUUUUUUUUUUUUAAUGUUUCAUAUUUAAUCGUGUCAGACAUAUAUAUAUGCAUGAGCGUACAUAUUAUUUAGUCAAAUUUUUUGUUUAUUUUUGUGUGUUUAAACAUUUUCUUUUUCUGUUACUGCUCUAAAAAUAGCACAACCUAGUAGUGUAUUAAAUAUAAAAAAAAAUUUUAGUUAAGAUCAUACCAAGUUAUAUGUAAAUUAUAUGUAGUAACGUUUUUUUUUUUUGUUCGUAUCAUAUAGCAUAUAAGUUAGUAUUGUUUUUACAAAUCUGUUACAUAUCCUGCAACAAAUUCUUUUUUCCUUUUUCUUUUUCCUUCUGGUGCUGUGAAAGUAAAAAACAAAUUGUAAUAAAAUAAAAAAAAAAUAAAUAAAAAAUAAAUAA